rnacentral:rRNA from 1 species
GACGAACGCUGGCGGCGUGCUUAACACAUGCAAGUCGAACGGAAAGGCCCUGCUUGCGGGGUGCUCGAGUGGCGAACGGGUGAGUGACACGUGGGUGAUCUGCCCCUUACUUUGGGAUAGGCCUGGGAAACUGGGUCUAAUACUGGAUAGGACCAUGCUGUAGGUGGUGUGGUGGAUAGAUUAGUUUGGGUAUGGGGUGAGCUCGCGGCCGAUCAGCUUGUUGGUGGGGUAUUGGCCGACCAAGGCGUCGACGGGUAGCCGGCCAGAGAGGGAGGGCGGCCAGAUUCGGACUGCUACGGGGGGCAGCAGUCGGCGAGAGGCAGCAGUGGGCAAAAUUGUACCAGAGGAGCAAGCCUGAUGCAGCGACGGCGCGUGGAGGAUGACGCCCUUCUAGUUGUAAACAACUUUUGUCUAAGACAAAGCGCAUGUGGUGACGGUAGCGGUAGAAGAAGCACCGGCUAACUACGUG